GUCGGAGCUUCAGGCUUCAGGGAGGGACAAUUGCCAUCAAAAGUCGUCAUGCCCGGGAGCAGGUGUUGCUCAGAAUUGUGAAGACGUUAUGAACCCAGGUGACUUGACUCAAGAGUUACAACCCCACUAAUGAGAAGCAAUCUGAUGGAGGGCAAUUUUUUAAUCUUUCACAUCAUCACUGUGGACAGUAAAUGCAAUUCUGUGCCUACAUUUUGUUAAGAAAGGAGCCAUCUACAGAUCCAGGGGAAGACUGGCAGCAUCCAAACAGAUGAUGCAUCAUCUUAAAACACGAUUGCUUGCCAUCCACUGUGGCUCUUUUUGUCGUGUAUAAAGAGCUAUAUGCUUUCAGGAGAAGCACAACUCACACUUGUUGAAUUAAACAAGAGGCUCGGGUGUUUUGCCAAGUACUCCAGAGACUGGUUCUACUCUCACACAGGAAGAAAUUUGAGGAAUGCUAGGCACCAAGGACAAACAGCCUCAUGGAAAAUCAACGGAUCCGCUUCCCAGACAAGACCAUUGGAAUGCCUGGAGCUCCAUGUAAUUUUCUGUGUCCUGACAACCUCCCCAACCUGAGUUUCCUUCAAGCCCACCACCUGAGCCAUCUGAGCAAGUUGAGCUAGGCUGAAGCUCCAAUGCUGUCACACUUUGUAUUGUAUAUAGAACAAGAAUAGAUGGACUUCCCCUUAUGUGGGUGGUACUAGUCAUCUUUAAUUCUUAUGGGUGAGGGAAGUUUUCCUUUAGUAGAAACAUAAACACAUAGCAAUGCCCCUUUCCCCACUCAGGAGAUGUGCAUUCACUUUUAAAAUAGCUGCUGUUAUUUAGUAUUCAUAUAUGUAGAAUAGGCUCUUAAAUGCUUCUAAUAACAGUAUCAUAGAAGUUCACAUUGCCUGCCUGGCUGAGUAUCCUAACUUACAGCUAAAGAGAGAUUGUUCUCUAGCUCUAUUUGGAAAUAAAGGAUGUGGUGUAUGACCAGAUGUUGGAAGCCUCCCUUCUUGUAAUAUCAAAUAAGUAUAAUUAUAAUAUAUGUUAACUAUUUACAAUCACUAAAAUGUUUCUUGGAAAGACUAGGAAUGACUAAAUUAGUAAACUAAUAGAAUGAAAAAUAAAAAUGGUCAAAUGUAUAGAAGCAAAGAGAAAUUGUCUGAAAUAAGAUAUUACACAUUGAAAUAUUUAUAGUAUCUAUUAUCAAAUAAAUGCAAAUGUCAAAUACAAACUACAUUAUCUUUUAUUAAUGACUUUAAGUAUAUAUUUUUAAAAUGUUAAACCACUCAUAUGGAGCCAGUGAAAAGUUUUCUACCUAGUGUAGUUUUUUCUACAGUUGAUGGAGUAUAUCUCCUUCCUGAGAAUGUGAUGCUACAGGCAUAAUUGUAAUAAAUUGUUAACUCUGUAAUCUAAAAAACUAUACUGAGAAUGUAAUAUCUAACUAUUUUUAAUCUUCCUUUUUAAAAGCAAAGUCUGAAACAUAUCAGCUCAGUUGCAAUCAUCCUUUAAAAAGAUUAAAGCCAUCAACCUAGUUCUACAAAUG
rnacentral:lncRNA from 1 species